AGCGAACGUUUGCGGCGGGCUUAACACAUGCAAGUCGAACGGGCUGUUCCUUCGGGGGCAGUCAGUGGCGCACGGGUGCGUAACACGUAGGUAAUCAACCCUCUGGUUGGGGAUAACACUUCGAAAGGAGUGCUAAUACCCGGUAUGGCGCAGCGGUCUUCGGAUCGCGGCGAGAAAGACCCGCAAGGGUUGCCAGAGGACGAGCCUGCGGCCCAUCAGCUAGUUGGCGAGGUAACGGCUCACCAAGGCGAAGACGGGUAGCUGGUCUGAGAGGAUGAUCAGCCACACUGGAACUGAGACACGGUCCAGACUCCUACGGGAGGCAGCAGUGGGGAAUAUUGCGCAAUGGGCGAAAGCCUGACGCAGCCACGCCGCGUGAGCGAUGAAGGCCU
rnacentral:rRNA from 1 species